rnacentral:misc_RNA from 1 species
GUAGGUGAACCUGCGGAAGGAUCAUUACUGCUUGCUGGCGGCGCUGCUCUGGGAAACCAAAGCUGUGCCAGGCACGCUACCCUUGUCUAUAUACACCUUUUGUUAUUUCCCUCGGCAGGGCAACCUGUCGCUGGGGACAAUUAAACCCUUUGUAUUAAGUAUCAAAUCAUCUGAAACAAAAUUAAGUAAUUACAACUUUUAACAAUGGAUCUCUUGGUUCUGGCAUCGAUGAAGAACGCAGCAUCUGACU